rnacentral:rRNA from 1 species
GGGGAAUAUUGGGCAAUGGGGGCAACCCUGACCCAGCAACGCCGCGUGAAGGAAGAAGGCUUUCGGGUUGUAAACUUCUUUGACCAGGGACGAUAGUGACGGUACCUGGAAAACAAGCCACGGCUAACUACGUGCCAGCAGCCGCGGUAAUACGUAGGUGGCGAGCGUUGUCCGGAAUUACUGGGUGUAAAGGGCGCGUAGGCGGGACUGCAAGUCAGAUGUGAAAUUUUCCGGCUUAACCGGGAACGUGCAUUUGAAACUGUAGUUCUUGAGUGAUGGAGAGGCAAGUGGAAUUCCUAGUGUAGCGGUGAAAUGCGUAGAUAUUAGGAGGAACACCAGUGGCGAAGGCGACUUGCUGGACAUUAACUGACGCUGAAGCGCGAAAGCGUGGGGAGCAAAC